rnacentral:rRNA from 1 species
UAGUAACUGCGAGUGAAGCGGGAAAAGCUCAAAUUUAAAAUCUGGCAGUCUUUUGGCUGUCCGAGUUGUAAUUUAGAGAAGCGUCUUCCGCGCCGGACCGUGCACAAGUCUCCUGGAAUGGAGCGUCAUAGAGGGUGAGAAUCCCGUCUUUGGCAUGGACACCCGGGGCUUCUGCGAUGCGCUCUCGAAGAGUCGAGUUGUUUGGGAAUGCAGCUCAAAAUGGGUGGUGAACUCCAUCUAAAGCUAAAUAUUGGCGAGAGACCGAUAGCGAACAAGUACCGUGAGGGAAAGAUGAAAAGCACUUUGGAAAGAGAGUGAAACAGUACGUGAAAUUGUUGAAAGGGAAACGCUUGAAGUCAGUCGCGUCGAUCGAGACUCAGCCUUGCCUUGGCUUGGCAUACUUCUCGGCUGACGGGCCAGCAUCAAUUUUGUCUCUCGGAUAAUGACAAGGGAAAGGUGGCACCUUCACCGGUGUGUUAUAGUCUCCUGUCGCAUGCGAGGGGUGGGAUUGAGGAACUCAGCACGCACCUCUUGGUGUCGGGGCUUCUGCCCACGCUACGUGCUUAGGAUGUUGGCGUAAUGGCUUUAAACGACCCGUCUUGAAACACGGACCAAGGAGUCUAACAUGCCCGCGAGUGUUCGGGUGGAAAACCCGUGCGCGUAAUGAAAGUGAAAGUUGGGACCUCUAUCGUGGAGGGCACCGACGCCCGGACCAGACCUUCUGUGACGGAUCUGCGGUAGAGCGUGCAUGUUGGGACCCGAAAGAUGGUGAACUAUGCCUGAAUAGGGUGAAGCCAGAGGAAACUCUGGUGGAGGCUCGUAGCGAUUCUGAC